rnacentral:lncRNA from 10 species
AACAAAAAGUAGAAAGCAUCCAGAAGAGAAACUUGAUUAUCUGACUAGAUAAUUUUCGGUAUCCUAGUCUCCUCAGGUAACAGGGGUUUCUCUUACUCUUGAGGUUGCCUUGUAGGCUGUUCUGGCAUCCAAAAUGAUAGGCUAGGACUUGUGAACAGUCAACUCUGACUUGAUCAGAUGUAGCUCAGACAUCUCUGAAAAGAGAAGGGAAGGAAGGAGGAUUGAACCUCAAACUACAGCAUCCUUCUAAGACAUUUUGGACAAGUUGAUAGGGAAUUCCCCACCGAAGUCCCACGUUAGAGUUCUGCAUCCCACAGGAAUGGACCAGCACUAGUAACCCUCAGUCAUUGACUGGGGACAGCCCAGAGUGCAAAGGCAGUGAUGGAUCCCGAGACGAGCAGCUAGGUCUUUCAGUCAACGAUGCUCCUUGCAGCAGGAGAUCUGACUGGUACAUUUUUUUAUGGCCGCCAUGGGGAAUGAAGUCAGAUGACCUGGGUUUGAAUUCUGGUUCUACCACUUAAGUGUGGAAAAAUUAUCUAAUUUGUCUGAGCCCCAAAUUCAUCAGCUGUAAAAUGGAAAUGAGUAAGGUAUCUAUGUCAAAGAGUUGUUAUGUGAAUCACAUGAACCGUAUAAUAUUCUUACUUAGAUCAUGUUAUUCUCAGACACCUCAGUAUCAAACACCUCAAUAAACGUUAACUAUUUUUAUUACAGAUACUUUUAGCUGAUACAAAGUCAGAGGUCUCAGCCCUCAGGAAAUGUUGACAGCUGGCGAAAUGCUGAAAGGUAUAUAUUGGGUAGAAGAGCAUUAUGUAUGGAACUUCUCACGAAACAGGGCUGAAGCAGUGCCUACUCAAUAGAACCGGUCAUCGUGCAAAGAAAUGCCACCUGACUCAAAGGCAAAGCCAGAGUGCAGCUUGGAGCAAAGAAAGUACUUUUAUUAAGAAUUUUAUAUAAACCAUAAGAUAUAUUUUAUAUUACUUUGUGCGCCUUCUUGUUAUCUUA